rnacentral:rRNA from 1 species
GUAGGUGGCAAGCGUUGUCCGGAAUUAUUGGGCGUAAAGCGCGCGCAGGCGGUUCUUUAAGUCUGAUGUGAAAGCCCACGGCUCAACCGUGGAGGGUCAUUGGAAACUGGAGAACUUGAGUACAGAAGAGGAAAGCGGAAUUCCACGUGUAGCGGUGAAAUGCGUAGAGAUGUGGAGGAACACCAGUGGCGAAGGCGGCUUUCUGGUCUGUAACUGACGCUGAGGCGCGAAAGCGUGGGGAGCAAACAGGAUUAGAUACCCUGGUAGUCCACGCCGUAAACGAUGAGUGCUAAGUGUUAGGGGGGUUUUCCGCCCCCCUUAGUGCUGCAGCUAACGCAUUAAGCACUCCGCCGUGGGGUACGGCCGCAAGGCUG